rnacentral:sRNA from 1 species
UAUUCUGCCCCAUGGGGAAGGAUGAGAAGCUUCGACUAAGGUUCGACUCGAGCGCCAGCGAGAGAACGUUGCCACAGGCAACGG